CCCUGGAUGUGUGAGGACAACUUUCCCUGUCAGAUUGACCAUGUUGAUCUCACUUUCUCUAAGCCAGUUUGUCUGACAUGCUGAG
ensembl:snoRNA